rnacentral:rRNA from 1 species
GAUUAACGCUGGCGGCAUGCCUAAUACAUGCAAAUCGAACGGAGUUAUUCUUCGGAAUAACUUAGUGGUGAACGGGUGAGUAACACGUAUCCAAUCUACCUUCAGGUUGGGGAUAACUAAUCGAAAGAUUAGCUAAUGCCCAAUAAUAAUAUUAUUAUCGCAUGAGAAAAUAUAGAAAGGUCCGUUUGGACCGCUUUUGGAUGGGGGUGCGACGUAUCAGAUAGUUGGUAAGGUAAAAGCUUACCAAGUCUAUGACGCGUAGCUGUACUGAGAGGUAGAACAGCCACAAUGGGACUGAGACACGGCCCAUACUCCUACGGGAGGCAGCAGUAGAGAAUUUUUCACAAUGGGCGAAAGCCUUAUGAAGCAAUGCCGCGUGAACGCAUGAGGUCUUUAAGAUUGUAAAGUUCUUUUAUUUGGGAAGAAACAUUAAUAUAGGAAAUGAUAUUAAUUUGACUGUACCAUUUGAAUAAGUAUCGGCUAACUAUGUGCCAGCAGCCGCGGUAAUACAUAGGAUGCAAGCGUUAUCCGGAUUUACUGGGCGUAAAACGAGCGCAGGCGGAUUUACAAGUUUGGUAUGAAAUCUAUAUGCUCAACGUAUAGCUGUAUCAAAAACUGUAAAUCUAGAGUGUAGUAGGGAAUUGGGGAAUUCCAUGUGGAGCGGUAAAAUGCGUAGAUAUAUGGAGGAACACCGGUGGCGAAGGCGCCAAUUUAGGCUAUCACUGACGCUUAGGCUCGAAAGUGUGGGGAUCAAAUAGGAUUAGAUACCUUAGUAGUCCACACUGUAAACGAUCAUCAUUAAAUGUCGGCUCGAUAGAGUCGGUAUUGUAGCUAACGCAUUAAAUGAUCCGCCUGGGUAGUACAUUCGCAAGAAUGAAACUCAAACGGAAUUGACGGGGACCCGCACAAGUGGUGGAGCAUGUUGCUUAAUUUGACAAUACACGUAAAACCUUACCUAGGUUUGACAUCGCGCUGCAAAGCUAUAGAAAUAUAGUGGAGGUUAACAGCGUGACAGGUGGUGCAUGGUUGUCGUCAGCUCGUGUCGUGAGAUGUUGGGUUAAGUCCCGCAACGAGCGCAACCCCUUUCGUUAGUUACUUUAUCUAGCGAUACUGCUACUGCAAAGUAGAGGAAGGUGGGGAUGACGUCAAAUCAUCAUGCCCCUUAUAUCUAGGGCCGCAAACGUGCUACAAUGGCUGAUACAAACUGCCGCAACCCAGUAAUGGUGAGCAAAUCAGAAAAAGUCAGUCUCAGUUCGGAUAGAGGGCUGCAAUUCGUCCUCUUGAAGUCGGAAUCACUAGUAAUCGCGAAUCAGACAUGUCGCGGUGAAUACGUUCUCGGGUCU